UAUAUAUUGCGUCUGGUAUGUUUAUAGAAGCACGGAGCGUUCCGUACUUUCACUUUAUUUUUGAUGUUCGGACUUUCGAAUCGAUGAUCGGCUCUGUUAGACUUGAUCUAGAGUAUUUGAAGUAUCUAGAAAAUAAAUUUUGCGAUUUUUCGAUAUCAUUUGCCUAGUGAUCGAAGUGGCUCAAAAUCAACGACUGAAAAUAAAAAUCUUACAAAAUAUGAUGAUAUGAUAUUAAAAUUUUAGAUGAAAGUUAUUGAUCUUGUUUUAUAUGGUAUAAAAAAUUUUCUAUCAAAAUUUCAUGCAAUUUGGAUAUUUCUACACCGUUAAACUUGCAACUGGUUCACCACGGUCAUUAAAAUUAUUGAUUUUGAGCCCCUUCGAUCACUAGGUAAAUAAUAUCGAAAAAUCACAAAAUUUAUUUUCUAGGUACUUCAAAUACUCUAAAUCAACUCUAACGGAACCGAUCGUCGAUUCGAAAGUCCGAACAUCGAAAACAAAGUGGAAGCACGGAUGGCUCCGUGCUUCCGUAAGCAUAGCAGCCUACUCUAUAUAUAUAUAGUCCGACUAUAAUACUAUCGAUAGUACCAAAUAUUUGGUACUAUCAAAUUUUCUGCUGUUAGAUCGCUUAUUUUUAUUCAUUAAAUUAUACCAUUCAACAGACAACCAACUCAACCUUAGAGGAUCACUAUCACCUUAAUCACAUAUCGCUUUAUCCAAGGUUUAAAAAUUUAAUAAUACUAAUAACUUGAUAUUAUUAAUAGUAUUCUAGCAUAGUUUUAUAUAUAUAUUGAAAAAAAGUCUAAUUAAAUUAAAAUUAGACUCAUAUUUAUAAUCCAU
rnacentral:lncRNA from 1 species